UGAGGUUAAGUUAACAAGGGCGCAUGGUGAAUGCCUUGGCACUAGGAGCCGAUGAAGGACGGGACUAACACCGAUAUGCUUCGGGGAGCUGUACGUAAGCUAUGAUCCGGAGAUUUCCGAAUGGGGCAACCCAGCAGUUUUAAUCAACUGUUACCACUAGAUGAAUUCAUAGUCUAGUUGGAGGUAAACGCUGUGAACUGAAACAUCUCAUUAGCAGCAGGAAUAUAAAGAAAUUUCGAUUCCCUAAGUAGCGGCGAGCGAACGGGGAACAGCCCAAACCAAAGUGCUUGCACUUUGGGGUUGUAGGACUGAACAUUUGAGUUACCAAAGAACUUGAUAGUCGAAGGAUUUGGGAAAAUCCGCCAUAGAUGGUGAUAGCCCAGUAGAUUAAAUCAAAUUCUCUCAGUUCAGGAUCCUGAGUACGGCGGAACACGUGAAAUUCCGUCGGAAUCCGGGAGGACCAUCUCCCAAGGCUAAAUACUACCUAGUGACCGAUAGUGAACCAGUACCGUGAGGGAAAGGUGAAAAGCACCCCGGGAGGGGAGUGAAAUAGUUCCUGAAACCAUGUGCCUACAAUAAGUCAGAGCGCGUUAAUGCGUGAUGGCGUGCCUUUUGUAGAAUGAACCGGCGAGUUAUGAUCCCGUGCAAGGUUAAGACUAAAAAGUCGGAGCCGUAGCGAAAGCGAGUCUGAAAUGGGCGCUUUGAGUACGAGGUUAUAGACCCGAAACCAGGUGACCUAUCCAUGUCCAGGUUGAAGGU
rnacentral:rRNA from 1 species